rnacentral:rRNA from 1 species
CCUACGGGAGGCAGCAGUGGGGGAUAUUGCACAAUGGGGGGAACCCUGAUGCCGCUACGCCGCGUGGGUGAAGAAGCGCCUCGGCGCGUAAAGCCCUGUCAGCAGGGAAGAAAAUGACGGUACCUGAAGCAGAAGCACCGGCUAACUACGUGCCAGCAGCCGCGGCAAUACGUAGGGGGCAAGCGUUAUCCGGAUUUACUGGGUGUAAAGGGGGCGCAGACGGCGAUGCAAGCCAGGAGUGAAAGCGCGGGGGCAAAGCCCGGGACUGCCCUUGGAACUGCGUGGCUGGAGUGCAGGAGGGGCAGGCGGAAUGCCUGGUGUAGCGGUGAAAUGCGUAGAUAUCAGGAGGAACACCGGUGGCGAAGGCGGCCUGCUGGACUGCAACUGACGUUGAGGCCCGAAAGCGUGGGGAGCAAACAGGAUUAGAUACCCUUGUAGUC